rnacentral:rRNA from 1 species
UACGGGGGGGGCAAGCGUUGUUCGGAAUUACGGGGCGUAAAGGGCUCGUAGGUGGCCAACUAAGUCAGACGUGAAAUCCCUCAGCUUAACUGGGGAACUGCGUCUGAUACUGGAUGGCUUGAGUUUGGGAGAGGGAUGCGGAAUUCCAGGUGUAGCGGUGAAAUGCGUAGAUAUCUGGAGGAACACCGGUGGCGAAGGCGGCAUCCUGGACCAAUACUGACACUGAGGAGCGAAAGCCAGGGGAGCAAACGGG